ACAAGCAGCUAUACAAGCAGCUCACAACUGGCAACUCACUGAAGCUGAGCAGGUGUGAGCCUGGUCAGUACCUGGAUGGGAGACCUCCUGGGAAAAACUAAGGCUGCUGCUGGAA
rnacentral:rRNA from 1 species